rnacentral:rRNA from 1 species
UACAUAGGGAGCAAGCGUUAUCCGGAAUUAUUGGGUGUAAGGGUGCGUAGACGGAGGAACAAGUUAGUUGUGAAAUCCCUCGGCUUAACUGAGGAACUGCAACUAAAACUAUUCCCCUUGAGUGUCGGAGAGGAAAGUGGAAUUCCUAGCGUAGCGGUGAAAUGCGUAGAUAUUAGGAGGAACACCAGUGGCGAAGGCGACUUUCUGGACGAUAACUGACGUUGAGGCACGAGAGUGUGGGGAGCAAACAGG